CGUAACUUCGGGAAAAGGAUUGGCUCUGAGGACUGGGCUCGGGGGUCCCGGCCCCGAACCCGUCGGCUGUCGGCGGAUUGCUCGAGCUGCUCACGCGGCGAGAGCGGGUCGCCGCGUGCCGGCCGGGGGACGGACCGGGAAUCGCCCCUUCGGGGGCUUUCCCCGAGCAUGAAACAGUCGACUCAGAACUGGUACGGACAAGGGGAAUCCGACUAUUUAAUUAAAACAAAGCAUUGCGAUGGUCCUCGCGGAUGCUGA
rnacentral:rRNA from 1 species